UUUUGGGAAAGGUAAAAACAAAUAAUUGUACUAAAGCAUGUAAUCUUGUUUUAAUUUUCCUCUAAGGUUUCAAGAAAGGUGUUUCCAGUAUGGACAUACACCAACCUUUUCUUCUUGAUCCCUGUGUUUUUACUGACAGACAUUUUCAGAUACAAACCAUUUGUGGUUAUGCAAGGACUGGCCAACGUGUUGGCUUGGCUCUUGUUAUUAUUUGGUUCUGGACUGAAGUCUGUUCAAUUGGCAUUGUUCAGCUAUGGCCUGGCUUUGGCAAUGGAAGUGGGAUACAUGUCCUAUAUUUAUAGUGUCGUCCAUAAAGAGCACUACCAGAAAGUAACCAGUUAUUCCAGGGGAGCUGUACUCCUGGGAUAUGCAGUUGGUUCUCUCUUGGGUCAAAUCCUGGUAUCUUUUGGAAUAUCCCUCUAUUGUCUUAAUGUCAUCACCCUGAGCUUUCUCUCCUUCACCCCAUUUAUAUCCUUGCUGCUGCCUAUGCCACGGAAAAUCUUGCUGUCUAGGAGCCCAAACAUAGACCUUUCGCCAAAUUCAAGAGUAUCAUCCCAGUGUUCCUGCUCUACUCUAAUGGAGGCCAGGAGAAGGAUUAUGAGUGCAAUGAUGAAGCUAAUUGUGGAUUGCAAAGAGUGCUAUUCAUCUGUGACCCUCAUUUUCCUGUCCCUGUGGUGGGCAAUGGGGAGAUGUGGUUUCUAUCAGAUAUCAAACUAUGUGCAAAUUCUCUGGUCUUCAAAAUUCCCUCAGAAUUUUACAUCAUACAAUGGGGGUGUUGAUGCAGCCUCCACACUUUCAGGUGCAGCAGCUUCCUUGGCCGUGGGUCAUGUGACACUGAACUGGUCUUUGUGGGCAGAGCUGCUUCUCGGAUUGUUCUCAGCUAUUUCUGCUGGAGUUGUUGCCCUGAUGAACCGCACAAGCAAUAUUUGGAUCAGCUAUGCAUGUUAUAUAGUGUUCAAAUCCUUAUACAUGCUACUCAAUACAAUAUGCAUCUUUCAGAUCGCAAAAAAACUCAAAACGGAGAGUUAUGCGCUGAUGUUUGGAAUUAACACUUUUGUGGCAGUCGCAUUACAGACUAUUCUGAUGGCUACUGUUAUCAACACCAAAGGUUUUGUGUUACCUCUUGCUACUCAGUACUAUAUCUAUGCCGCAUACUUUGCAACCAUCGCUAUGAUUUUCCUGAUUCGAGGAGUAUACACUUUGCUUCAUCUGAGGCGCAAUCUGUCAGAUGAUGGAAGCUCCAUUCACACUAACAAUGAGAGAAGUUCGCACCUACCUGAAAAUUCCCAGCUGUGAUGUACGCUCUCUCGUGUGAAACAGGAAACAUAAAGUAAUGCACCGUGCAGAAGGGAUAAAUGUAUGAGUGUACUGUUUCUUUUGGGGUUUUUUUUGUCUGUACUUCAAACAAUAAGACUGUAUUUGUAAAAGUGAUGUCAUUUCUACAACAGACCACAAGAGUGCACAAAAACUCCAUAAAAAAAGUUAGGUCAAAGAAUAAUUUGUCUUCUGUUUUGCCAAUAUUUAAAAUCACUUGCUAUAUUUUUUGUCUCAUCAUAAAAACAUGUUUUGAUAAUUGGCUUUUAUAAGCUGCUGACUGAUGAAGCACAAGAGGGGUUAACAUUUCUAGAUAUUUCCAGCAGUUUUGUGCAUGUGCUAUAUUGUUUGGAGCUCCUGUCUUGGUUAGAAGCCAGCCUUGAGAGUUGUGGGUUUGAAUCAGUUAGAAGCAACACAUAUUUAUGGCGAGAGAUUAGUUUCAACAUUAUAUAAAAAUGUGUGUAUUAUGAUCCAUAAAUAAGAGACAAGUCACAAAUGUGUUUCUCUAUCCACAAACAAAUAUCUGUCAUUGAUUUGUAAAAAUGCAUUACAUUUAGGCUACACCCUCCCCUCCCCCAUUCUGACACUUCACACAAUGGGUAACCCUUCAAUAAAUAUUUAAAUUGUUCCAAGUUUUAAUUUUUGCUGCGUGUUUCAUUUUUAUAAGUUGACAGAGGCAGAAAAGCUGAACCAGCUGCAGUCACUGUCAUGCAAAGUCACCACCCACGCCCUAUUUUAAGCCAGGAAAAACUCUGAUGUAUAACGUACACAUAGAAGUUUAUGAUUACUGUGUUUACUGUGUUCAGGUGUUUCUAGCAAGGCAUGCAUGCUUCAGAUGUCACACGUGUCAUUAGCACUUGAAAUUACAUUAAUCUUGUGCUGCUUGAAUCCUGUCUGUAAUUUUCCAAAAGAAUGACUGACUUCAGGGAAACUACAGCUGCCAAUUCUGAUAUAACUGCCAUGGAAGGUAAAUUUGUGAAGAAAUUAUCCAUACUGGAGGUUGCAUGUCCAUUUCCCAGAGAGAAAAUUACAUUAUCAAACUUUGUUUGUGAAAUAAAAUAUUAACACUUUCAUUAAUUUGUUAACCAAAGUUAAGGACAAAUUUUAUUUUAAUGUAUGUCAGUUUCCCUACAAAUUAUGCUUUCUUACCAGGGGAAUUGAAACUCACAAGGAAGCUAUUGUGUUCCGUCAUGUACAAACAGAAAUCUGCAAAAUAUUUCCUUUUUGGCAAUACAUCGGGAUUUAUUAUAUAAUAUGGAGGGCAAUGAUGUAGCCAUUUUCUGUUCAGUUGUAAAGUAUGCAGUCAGUUCCAGUCUGAAUAUCAAAGGAAAUGGCACUAUGUGAACAGAGUAGCAUUUGUCUGCUUCUUGCCCACCUUGCGUAUGAGAGUUGUAGUGUCUCAUAAAGAGGUUUACCUCUCACCAGGCAGGCUGUAGUGCCAUAAGGGCUUAAUGCAUGUGCCUAUGCAAACACACCCCACAUAUACAGUAUCCAGUAUUAAGACUUAGCCAUCAUGGCCUCACAGUAUUUCCUCUGAGAAAAGAAAGCCACCUUGCAGUUCAUCAAUAGUGUAUAGCAACUUUUUCUUUGCUCAGCCAUCACACAAUUCCUUGUCAGUGACACAGAAAAUUAUUUUACUCCUGAGAAAUGAAAAACAACUCAAUUACAUUUGCAAAUGUAUUUACUUAAGGUGGAGUCAAUCCCUUAUUUAUGGUAAACACACAUUCCUUUUCGCCAGCUCUAAUUGUUUUUUACUGAAAGUUUACCUUCUUUCCACUUCCAGGUGGGGUUGAGUAAAUUUCAAGGUAGCCAGGGGCCUGAAUCAGUGGCAUUAAAUAUAAGACACCGGAGAAGGUGUGUGUGUAUGGUGUGUGUGUAUGUGUGUGUUUGUGCGUGUGUGUGAGUGCAUGUGUGUAUGUGUGUGAUUUUUUUAAAGCCUUUUUUGCUUUUGAGUUGGGCUGCCGAGUAAAUUUGACUGAAGGUAGUGAAAAGCCACAAUGAGAAAUGAGUAUACAGGAAUUCAGAAUAAGAUUCCCAAAAAUAUGUUUAUUUCAUUAGCAGUGCUGUUCAAGAAAUGCAUUUUGGCAUGGCUACUGUCUGUUAGCAUAUUGGUUGGCACCAGUUGGCACUGCUUGGCACAGGUGGUUUGUUACAUUUGUUAUUUUAUUUUAAUUUCAUUGUUUACUUGAAUUUUUAACAAUGAUAGAUUUUAAGCCACUUAUUUAGAGAAAGUAAUGA